GCUGGCCUUUCGAGGCAUGUGCUCGCAUUCAAAACUGUUUAAUCUUCACUUGUGCACCUUUUGUAGUCUUUUGAAGUCAUCUCCGCUGCAAAUGCGGGUUUUUGGGAGUCUGUCUCCCUGGGCUUUAAAGACUAUGUUUUCAUAUACAUUGAAAAGUUACAGAAUGUCUUCUUAUCGGCCGCGAGGCCUUUAUAAACUUAAUACAACUUUCAACAACGGAUCUCUUGGCUCUCCCAUCGAUGAAGAACGCAGCGAAAUGCGAUAAGUAAUGUGAAUUGCAGAAUUCAGUGAAUCAUCGAAUCUUUGAACGCACCUUGCGCCCUUUGGUAUUCCGAAGGGCAUGCCUGUUUGAGUGUCAUUAAAUUAUCAACCUUGAAGGCUUUUGUGGUCUUCUAGGCUUGGAUGUGAGGGCUUGCUGGCUUCCUUCAGUGGAUUGGUCUGCUCCCUUUAAAUGCAUUAGUAGGAUCCUCUUGUGGAACUGUCGCUCGGUGUGAUAAUUAUCUACGCCCUAUUGACUUGCAAUGAGAGCCUGCUAAGAACUGUCUUCGGA
rnacentral:rRNA from 1 species